rnacentral:tRNA from 1 species
AAAAAGGUAAGCUAAUUUAAGCUUAUGGGUUCAUACCCCAUCUAUAAAGAUCAUACUUUCCUUUUUA